ACGGGCUAAAUGCAGUCGAGCGGGCGAGGUUGCUUCGCGUACACUGACGCUAGCGGCGGACGGGUGAGUAAUGCUUAGGAAUCUGCCUAUUAGUGGGGGACAACAUUCCGAAAGGAAUGCUAAUACCGCAUACGCCCUACGGGGGAAAGCAGGGGAUCUUCGGACCUUGCGCUAAUAGAUGAGCCUAAGUCAGAUUAGCUAGUUGGUGGGGUAAAGGCCUACCAAGGCGACGAUCUGUAGCGGGUCUGAGAGGAUGAUCCGCCACACUGGGACUGAGACACGGCCCAGACUCCUACGGGAGGCAGCAGUGGGGAAUAUUGGACAAUGGGCGGAAGCCUGAUCCAGCCAUGCCGCGUGUGUGAAGAAGGCCUUUUGGUUGUAAAGCACUUUAAGCGAGGAGGAGGCUACUUGGAUUAAUACUCUAGGAUAGUGGACGUUACUCGCAGAAUAAGCACCGGCUAACUCUGUGCCAGCAGCCGCGGUAAUACAGAGGGUGCGAGCGUUAAUCGGAUUUACUGGGCGUAAAGCGUGCGUAGGCGGCUUCUUAAGUCGGAUGUGAAAUCCCUGAGCUUAACUUAGGAAUUGCAUUCGAUACUGGGAAGCUAGAGUAUGGGAGAGGAUGGUAGAAUUCCAGGUGUAGCGGUGAAAUGCGUAGAGAUCUGGAGGAAUACCGAUGGCGAAGGCAGCCAUCUGGCCUAAUACUGACGCUGAGGUACGAAAGCAUGGGGAGCAAACAGGAUUAGAUACCCUGGUAGUCCAUGCCGUAAACGAUGUCUACUAGCCGUUGGGGCCUUUGAGGCUUUAGUGGCGCAGCUAACGCGAUAAGUAGACCGCCUGGGGAGUACGGUCGCAAGACUAAAACUCAAAUGAAUUGACGGGGGCCCGCACAAGC
rnacentral:rRNA from 1 species